ensembl:misc_RNA Metazoa_SRP Metazoan signal recognition particle RNA
GCUGGGCUUGGUGGUGCAUGCCUGUAGUCCCACCUUCUCGGGAGGCUGAGGCUGGAGGAUCGCUUGAGCCCAGGAGUUCUGGGCUGUAGUGCGCUAUGCUGAUCGAGUAUCCGCACUAAGUUUGGUAUCAAUGUGUUGAGCUCCCGGGAGUGGGGAACCACGAAGUUGCCUAAGGAGGGGUGAACUGGCCCAGGUCUGAAAUGAGGAAGUCAAAAUUCCUGAUGCUGAUCAGUAAGGGGAUUGCACCUAUGAAUAGGCACUGCACUCCAGCCUGGGAAACAUGGUGAGACCCUGUCUCUA